UACCAGACUCCUACGGGAGGCAGCAGUGGGGAAUAUUGCACAAUGGGCGCAAGCCUGAUGCAGCCAUGCCGCGUGUAUGAAGAAGGCCUUCGGGUUGUAAAGUACUUUCAGCGGGGAGGAAGGCGAUAAGGUUAAUAACCUUGUCGAUUGACGUUACCCGCAGAAGAAGCACCGGCUAACUCCGUGCCAGCAGCCGCGGUAAUACGGAGGGUGCAAGCGUUAAUCGGAAUUACUGGGCGUAAAGCGCACGCAGGCGGGCUGUCAAGUCGGAUGUGAAGUCGCCGGGCUCAACCUGGGAACUGCAUUCGAAGCUGGCAGGCUGGAGUCUUGUAGAGGGGGGGAGAAUUCCAGGUGUAGCGGUGAAAUGCGUAGAGAUCUGGAGGAAUACCGGUGGCGAAGGCGGCCCCCUGGACAAAGACUGACGCUAAGGUGCGAAAGCGUGGGGAGCAAACAGGAUUAGAGACCCUGGUAU
rnacentral:rRNA from 1 species